rnacentral:rRNA from 1 species
AGUGAACGCUGGCGGUAGGCCUAACACAUGCAAGUCGAACGGCAGCACAGUAAGAGCUUGCUCUUACGGGUGGCGAGUGGCGGACGGGUGAGGAAUACAUCGGAAUCUACUUUUUCGUGGGGGAUAACGUAGGGAAACUUACGCUAAUACCGCAUACGACCUACGGGUGAAAGCAGGGGAUCUUCGGACCUUGCGCGAUUGAUUGAGCCGAUGUCGGAUUAGCUAGUUGGCGGGGUAAAGGCCCACCAAGGCGACGAUCCGUAGCUGGUCUGAGAGGAUGAUCAGCCACACUGGAACUGAGACACGGUCCAGACUCCUACGGGAGGCAGCAGUGGGGAAUAUUGGACAGUGGGCGCAAGCCUGAUCCAGCCAUACCGCGUGGGUGAAGAAGGCCUUCGGGUUGUAAAGCCCUUUUGUUGGGAAAGAAAAGCAGCAGGUUAAUACCCCGCUGUUCUGACGGUACCCAAAGAAUAAGCACCGGCUAACUUCGUG